rnacentral:rRNA from 1 species
UACGUAGGGUGCAAGCGUUAUCCGGAUUCACUGGGCUUAAAGGGUGCGUAGGUGGACAGGUAAGUCAGUGGUGAAAUCCCCGAGCUUAACUCGGGAACUGCCGUUGAUACUAUCUGUCUUGAAUAUCGCGGAGGUAAGCGGAAUAUGUCAUGUAGCGGUGAAAUGCUUAGAUAUGACAUAGAACACCGAUUGCGAAGGCAGCUUACUGGACGAUCAUUGACGCUGAGGCACGAAAGCGUGGGGAGCAAACAGG